AAUGAACGCUGGCGGCAGGCCUAAUACAUGCAAGUCGAACGAGUGGCGGACGGGUGAGUCAUGUCUGGGAAACUGCCCGAUGGAGGGGGAUAACUACUGGAAACAGUAGCUAAUACCGCAUACCAUCGGAUGUGCCCAGAGGGGAUUAGCUAGUAGGUGGGGUAACGGCUCACCUCGGCGACGAUCCCUAGCUGGUCUGAGAGGUUGAUCGGCCACACUGGAACUGAGACACGGUCCAGACUCCUACGGGAGGCAGCAGUGGGGAAUAUUGCACAAUGGGCGCAAGCCUGAUGGAGCCAUGCCGCGUGUGUGAUGAAGGCCUUCGGGUUGUAAAGUACUUUCAGUGAGGAAGCGUUACUCGCAGAGGAAGCCCCGGCUAACUCCGUGCCAGCAGCCGCGGUAAUAC
rnacentral:rRNA from 1 species